CACGGCCCAACUGAACAAUGAACACUCCCAAACACGAGCCCAUCCCCUCCCCGUCUUGGCGUCUCUCAAUGUGCAGCGCCGCUCACCUCACCGGCGACCCGAAUCCCUCGCCGUCCCCGUACAUGAUACCCGGCGCGUGUCCACUUGGUCUCCGUUCCGCUCCGCCGCGCUGCGAGGUGCUUUACCUGUCUCAUGCAUCUGAUUCAAGCGAAGCUGGAUGACAAUUUGCUAGUUCUGUGUCUUCCUGCCAUGGUAUGUUUAGCAGGGAAGAGUCCUUCCUAAAGAGCACAAUUGUGUUGUAUGUGGGUGACAUGGCAAGUACACAUGUGGCCAAAUAAUGGAAGCUUUUGACUCUGUUAAUGCUUUUUCGAAGCGGACUCUGUUAAUGCUAGGUAUCUGCAAAGAAACAGUUAUGUUCCCAGUUGACAAAAUCUCUAGUUGUUCAAAUGUGCAGUUGUGGCACUUAUGGACUAGCAAGGACCAUUUGCAGUUGCUCCUGUUGGUGGAAGAGCAAGCAAUAGUGCUUCAAAAGGAUCUACCUUUUAAAACUUCUCUAUGGCGAUCCUUUGCCCCAGAAAUGGAGAAAUUGAGAUGUGUGGUACCACUAUCUAUAGUAGGCUGGUUGAUCCUACAAUGUUGAACCUUAUAAUCUUCUGCACCCUUGUUUGGAUGAUUUAGAUUGUUUAAAGUCAAUGACAUGUAGGUAUUUAUAGGCCAUGUAACUCUUUCAAGCACUUCCACAAGACCUAAUUGCGUCAUUUUAACCAGGUUGUGAUGUUUCAGCAUUCAGCAGCAGUAUGUUUGAUCAGGAAGACUAAAACUCUGGUGACAGUAAUAUAUGUACCAGAUGGAAACAAAGUAAGCUGUACAAAGGAUUUGAACAACUGAACAAGUAGUCACCAUUGUGGAGUUGUAGAAUUUUCAUUACAGGAGAAAUAUCUGCCACUGUUUCUAACAAGUUUAUGGACAGAGUAUGAAUCGUGGAUUUUGAGAGUAUGCCAAGUCAUAUUUAGUUAACCUGAAAAAUUCCUCCAAGCAGUAUCUUGAAUGGAGGACGGGGAUGUGUUAAUUUCUUUGCGAUUGAGGAUGACUGCAAGAUUUUAGUUGGUCUGUUCAUUCUCUGAAGCCUGUCGGAGUGCAGUGGCGACUCUUCGUCUCUUUGACAUGCAUUCUAUAGCAUAAAUUCAUAUGACAAAUGUAAAUUAUCUGCCCCUAUGUCAGUGUAAACAAUAUAUGAGUCAAAUACAAAGUCUUCGCAAAAAGGUAUACAUUACAGUGGAAACCAUGCACUGCAAGUGUGCGGUUGCUGAUAUACCAAUUACCAAGUCUUAUGACCCUAACCCUACAAGUUUCUAUACCAAUAAUACUACAAGUUAGGUGAGAUGCUUUCCGUUUGAACUAUUUGUGAAUCCUUAAUUCAGUUUAUAAAUCACAAUACAUUGGUUGUUGGCAAAAAAUAGACUCUCAACCCUAAUCACUUCUAUAUUAAUAGGCACAUGAUUAGUCUCUGAUAUAGUCUUUUGUUACAACCUAGUGUGAACUUAUCCCUCGAGUGGUUUAUGGGAGAAAUAAUUUCAGUGAGCUUCUAUUUUAAAUACGUUUUUCUUUGUAUGUGUGAAUUGCCUUAAAAAUACUUAUCAUAUCUGUCCUACUUAUGCUCGUCUGUUCACUCUUCUCCCAAUCUUCCUCCUUCAAACUCUGACAGGGCAGGACCAUGCAAACCUUCACGGUCCUCCUGAAUUCCCCCCUCGUGCCGUCUCCUUCCACUAAUUACAUUCGGACCAACUGUCAAACAAGUUCUUGUUCUUGGGUAUACCAAAUUCCACCUUGUUUUCUGUGGUUCGUGGCGUAGCACAGGCACCUUGCUGGUAAGCAGUAGAAUAUAGUGGAAAUGUACACUUAAAAUUGAUUCUUCACUUACAAGCUAAGGAAUGCAUGACGUCCUUUGUCUAACAGUUUACGUUUGCAGCCUCCUCUUUAUCCAAAAGUUGAAACAUAGCAGCUUUCCAUUUUUCUACUCAUUGGCAUUGCCAGGGUAAUACUCCUGCUAUCUUUACCAUCCACUUGACAAUGUCAUUAAUCAAUUAGUUGGCAUGUACAUGCACCAUAAUUUGGGCCAUUUUAGGUGGAUCUGGGGGAUAACAGUGUCAACAUCGCUGGGUAACUUAAUGCGAUAUGCCUUACAAAUGUUGAAUGUUGAUUAGGAUGGCAUCGCCAGAUUGAUUCCAAUGAGUGUAGCAAAGGGCAAAGUUAAUGUUGGGGGACCAGUACACCUACACUACUGGACAUAUUGAAUGCAUGCUUUUGCAACAUGGGAGGUCCUUCACCAGCUACUGUGGCACCACAAGAUGUCAAGGCGGGACUAGUAUGAUCUUUUUCAGAAAAUAUAGCAGCAGCAGCAGUGUCACUACCCUAAAUCAUUGGAGCAUCAUAUAUCUAACAAUUUGUUCUGCAGGACAUAUUAGGAGCACUAAUUGUCAUAAUAUUUCAGCUUUGCUGUGCGGAGCCCAUUUAUUAUGUUUUGAUGGAUGGAGACCUGAAGUGGUGAUCACCUUUUCUGAUAACAAGGACAUGACGAGAAAGGCAAACUGAUUUGUUUGUAUCUAAGCAUCCCAACUCAGUAGGGAUCUCGCUAUAUUGGCAUCGCUUUUGCUUCUGGCCACCACCAUUGGAUUUCACCAAGCAAUUUUCUUAGAGCAUCUGAUGAUUCGUGACUGAUCCCUUGUGUAUUACAAGAGGGUUACACACGGGAACAUCCAGGAAUUGCAUGGAGAGUCUCAUGCGCAGGAGUAAUUGAUUGACAGAUGUUUUCGGUAAAUCGCAUUCUUCGUCUCGUUUGGGCUUACCAAAUGAUUUCGAAAACUCGGGGUGCACGCUAUCUCUUACCUUCGGUGAUUACUCCUUCCGGCUAUACGAAGUACUAACAUGCCGCAUACAUGUUCAAAAUUUUGUGCUUGCAUAGUUGCAUUCAUAUGAUGGUCCAUUUACAAAUUUUGGAACCUUGUUCUUAAUUAGGGUUACGACUAUGGGACUAGAAUGAACAGUGCUUACAGACGACUGUCUUGUCAAACUAAGAAUGUGCAAAUAUCACCUCACCAUAUUCCGGAUAUCCCUUUGAUGAAGAGAGACGCUUAAAUUCGCC